AUUAAAUUAAUAAAUUGAACGCAAUCCCUUUUAUUCCAACAGGCGAAUUUAAACUAUUACGAAAAAGGGGCAAUUGAAAAUUUUACCCGAUAAAAACUACUAAUAUUAAAAUUCAAACAGUUUAUAUUUUAAAUAUUUAAAUCUGUAAAAAUAAUUUAAAUAAUAAAUAAUUAAUUAUAUAAUUUUUCAAAAUAAAUGUUUUAAAGUUUAUUUUAAAAAUUCUCGGUUAAAUAAUUUCGUUAUUAUUUGCAAUUAAAAAAUUAAUUUAUUUACUCUCCGAGAUAAAAUUCUAACUAAAUAUUAUAACAAACAUUAAAAAUAAUAUACUAACUAUUUUUGGUAUUUUUAAUAUCGAAUUUUUAUUUUUUAAUAAAUAAAUAAAAGAAAUCAUAUUGUUUAGUACCGCUAAAAAUUGGCAAAUUAAUUACCAAAUCUGGUAAGUUUACUUAUAUUAUCCGAUAAAACAUAUUAAGAAAAAAAAUUAAAAUAUAAAACUUUUCUUUUUAUAUAAUUAUUUUAAAUUUAUUAAUUAUAUGGUAUUGGAAAAAAUUUAUAUAUUUUAACCGCGGAUUAAAUAUUUAAACUCGUAUAAUUUUAUAAAUGGCGUUCGAAUUUUAAAAUUCAAAAAUAAAUAACGAAUUAAUUAUUAUUAUUUAUAAGAUAUUAUCCGGUGUUUAUUUUAAUCGCGAAAAAACUAUGCCGAUAAUUUACUACCAUUAAUCUAUUUGCACCUAUCGACGAAGAUUUUACUUUGAGGAAAAGAAAGGAAACAAACAAAGUUUUGAAUUUAACGCGACGUAGAUAAAGGUAUUA
rnacentral:sRNA from 1 species